GCUUAGAGAGGGGUCAAUGUCCUAUCAGCUAGUUGGCAGGGUAAUGGCCUACCAAGGCUAAGACGGGUAGCCGGCCUGAGAGGGUGGUCGGCCACACUGGGACUGAGACACUGCCCAGACUCCUACGGGAGGCUGCAGUCGAGAAUCUUUCGCAAUGCCCGAAAGGGUGACGAAGCGACGCCGCGUGUGGGAAGAAGGCCUUCGGGUUGUAAACCACUGUCGGGAGUUAAGAAAUGUAAGGGUGUUAAUAGCAUCCUUACUUGACUAAGGCUCCGGAGGAAGCCACGGCUAACUCUGUGCCAGCAGCCGCGGUAAUACAGAGGCGGCAAGCGUUGUUCGGAAUUAUUGGGCGUAAAGAGCACGUAGGCGGCUUUGUAAGUCAGUUGUGAAAGCCUUCCGCUUAACGGAAGAACAGCAUCUGAUACUGCAAGGCUAGAGUGCGGAAGGG
rnacentral:rRNA from 1 species